CUUCUGUUAUACAUACCACUUGUAUAGGGUACACAAGUUCAAGCUAUACUUUAUCAAGAUCAAAUAGAACAAUUCCAAGAUACCUUCAAAGUUUUUAAUUCAUACUAUGUCUCAAAUGCUGCUGUCAAGUUGCUACAAGAAAAAUACCGUAUCACACCACAAUCAUGGCAAUGGCAAUGGACAAUCACUGCUAGCACACUUAUUCGAGAUGUUGAAAACAGUAAUGAAGAUAACAAUGCCCCAGCAUAUCACUUUGUACCAUUCAACGAAUUCUCUGACCAUCUUGGCAAUGAAACAUCAUCCAUAAGUAAUUUUCUUAAAUCAACAUAAAUAAUUAUCAAGUUACUUUUUCAUUAGAUACUCUUAUUGUUUUUGUAUCUAUAACAGAUAUUCUUGCAGCAGUUAUUCAAAUUAAGCCACCAAAAACAAUCACAACAGAAAAUGGAACCACAACUGCACAAGAAAUUGUACUCAUUAAUGAAGAGUUAAUGCCAAUAGUUUUAACUUUGUGGGGUCAAUUUGUCACUAAUGAAGGAGAGAGAUUGCAAGCCAUUGCUCAAUCAUUCCCAACUCUAAUUGCAAUCAGGCUUAAAGUCUCAUUGUUUCGCGGUAAUUAUAAUCUUAACACAUUAUACUAAAUAUUAAAAAUAUAUAAAACAUAUUUUUUUUAAUUUAUUUUUUACAGGACAAUCAUUAUCAACAAAACCAACAUCAGCUUUUGUGCUCAACCCCAACUUCAAAGCUGCACACCAACUUCACAAUUGGUGCAUCCAAAAUGAAGAAGUUAUUAGAACUUUACCUUCUCCACUUGAAACUCAUGUUCGAAACAUCACAACUCCAAGUCCUAAAGUAGAUAAAAUCAUUUCCAUCAGCAGCAUUCCAUCUUCUCCAAAUGCAGUAAGCUUCAUACAUAUUCUUCUACUCUUUAAGCAUCUUAAAUAUAUCAUUA